GCAGUAAUAGUUCAGCGGUAGAAUGUUGGCUUCCCAAGCCGAAGGUCGCGAGUUCGAAUCUCGUUUACUGCU
rnacentral:tRNA from 1 species